UGAGGAAUAUUGCACAAUGGACGAAAGUCUGAUGCAGCGACGCCGCGUGGGUGACGAAGGCCUUCGGGUCGUAAAACCCUUUUGGCAGGGACGAGUGAGGACGGUACCUGCAGAAUAAGUCUCGGCUAACUACGUGCCAGCAGCCGCGGUAAAACGUAGGAGGCGAGCGUUAUCCGGAUUUACUGGGCGUAAAGCGUGCGUAGGCGGUUGGUCAAGUCAGAUGUUAAAGCCCCUGGCUCAACUGGGGGAGGUCAUUUGAUACUGAUCGGCUUGAGGGUGAGAGAGGAGAGUGGAAUUCCCGGUGUAGCGGUGGAAUGCGUAGAGAUCGGGAGGAACACCAGUGGCGAAAGCGGCUCUCUGGCUCACUUCUGACGCUGAGUGCACGAAAGCGUGGGUAGCAAACGGG
rnacentral:rRNA from 2 species